rnacentral:rRNA from 1 species
AGUGAACGCUGGCGGUAGGCCUAACACAUGCAAGUCGAACGGCAGCACAGGAGAGCUUGCUCUCUGGGUGGCGAGUGGCGGACGGGGGAGGAAUACAUCGGAAUCUACUCUGUCGUGGGGGAUAACGUAGGGAAACUUACGCUAAUACCGCAUACGACCUACGGGUGAAAGCAGGGGAUCUUCGUACCUUGCGCGAUUGAAUGAGCCGGUGUCGGAUUAGCUAGUUGGCGGGGUAAAGGCCCACCAAGGCGCCGAUCCGUAGCUGGUCUGAGAGGAUGAUCCGCCACACUGGAACUGAGACACGUUCCAGACUCCUACGGGAGGCAGCAGUGGGGAAUAUUGGACAAUGGGCGCAAGCCUGAUCCAGCCAUACCGCGUGGGUGAAGAAGGCCUUCGGGUUGUAAAGCCCUUUUGUUGGGAAAGAAAUCCAGCUGGCUAAUACCCGGUUGGGAUGACGGUACCCAAAGAAUAAGCACCGGCUAACUUCGUGCCAGCCGCCGCCGUAA